GUCGACCGCCGGCUACGUCUCAUCGCCAUUGGCCCGUACGCACGUCCGUCACAACUUCCUACCUCCCCCCCUCCCUGUUCCCCACACAGUAUUCCGGAGGUGCUCACCGCCUCGCCUGGUCACCGUUGGCCCCUCACGUCCGUAUUUCCCGAAACCUCUGGUUGCCGGAAGAAGGCGUUAUUUUCCUAAUGGGCGAAGAAGUAUGAAGAACCUGUGAACACGUGUGAAGACGCAGUUUCACUCUGCGGAAUGGAAAUUCAAGCAAAACAAUACCCCUUCCAGCCAUCAGACUGGCAACAGCCCUUGUGGGCCAGGACGUGGGAAACAGCCCUCUCGAGGGGGUCGGGCAGGCUCCUAAUUUAGCCUGGAGAAGUCCUCAGAAACGAGCUCUACGAACUUCUCUGCAGCGUCGGAGUGAGGUCGAAGGUCCAGAAACCCUCUGGCACCGCUGCUCGGGGGCUGUUGAAUCUGCCUCCUUCAUGCACCCUCUACGUGAACGAGGGGAGGUGCAAACCAUACUGUCCUGAGAAGAGAUGAGAACGCAAAUGACAGCGUAGUAUAUCCAGUGUAAUUUCAAUAUUUAUGCUUUUAAAAAACCAA